CGCAUCUGUGCAUGCAGCAUAUCAAUAAGCGGAGGAAAAGAAACUAACAAGGAUUCCCCUAGUAACGGCGAGUGAAGCGGGAAGAGCUCAAAUUUGAAAUCUUAAAGGGUUUCCCUUUACGAAUUGCAGUUUAAAGAAGUGUUUUCUGUUGAGGUUUUGGUAAAAGUUCUUUGGAAUAGGACAUCAUAGAGGGUGAGAAUCCCGUAUUUGACCUUUACUUUCAACUUUGUGAUACACUUUCAAAGAGUCGGAUUGUUUGGGAAUGCAGUCCAAAAUGGGUGGUAAAUUUCAUCUAAAGCUAAAUAUUGGCGAGAGACCGAUAGCGAACAAGUACCGUGAGGGAAAGAUGAAAAGAACUUUGAAAAGAGAGUUAAACAGUACGUGAAAUUGUCAAAAGGGAAGCGUUUGACACCAGUGUUGUUUUUCUGAAAAUCAAUUAAAGAACUGUUUAUGCUAAGCUGUUAGACUUUAUCAGCUAUCUGUUUAGUUUUGAGCUUUUCUUUAAUGCACUUUUCAGUUAACAAGUCAACAUCAAUUUCUUUUGCUGUAAAAAAGCUUGAGGAAGGUGGCUUGAGAUUCGUCUUAAGUGUUUAUAGCCUCUUGCCUAUGCAGUCGGAGAGAUUGAGGUCUGCAGCGUAGAUCCUUCGGGGCUAAAUGCAUUUGUGCUAAGUUAUAAGCAUUUUAUAGACAACUUGUUGACUAUGAUUUGUCUCGUAGCUUACUCGCUUAUGUUAUUUUACCUACGCUUAGGAUGUUGACAGCAGUAUAGACUGU
rnacentral:rRNA from 1 species